UGNGAGNCUANCAUGCAAGUCGAGCGCGAAAGGUUCUUCGGGACUGAGUAGAGCGGCGGACGGGUGAGUAACGCGUAGGAAUCUACCCAGUGGUGGGGGACAACUUGGGGAAACUCAAGCUAAUACCGCAUACGCCCUACGGGGGAAAGCGGGGGACCUUCGGGCCUCGCGCCAUUGGAUGAGCCUGCGUUGGAUUAGCUAGUUGGUGGGGUAAAGGCCCACCAAGGCGACGAUCCAUAGCUGGUCUGAGAGGAUGAUCAGCCACACUGGUACUGGAACACGGACCAGACUCCUACGGGAGGCAGCAGUGAGGAAUAUUGGGCAAUGGGCGAAAGCCUGACCCAGCCACGCCGCGUGUGUGAUGAAGGCCUUCGGGUCGUAAAGCACUGUGGGGAGAGACGAAACAGCGCAUCAGGAAAUGGUUGCGCCUUGACGGUACCUCCUUAGCAAGCACCGGCUAACUCUGUGCCAGCAGCCGCGGUAAUACAGAGGGUGCAAACGUUGCUCGGAUUUACUGGGCGUAAAGCGCGUGUAGGCGGACUCGCAAGUCGGUUGUGAAAUCCCUGGGCUCAACCUAGGAACUGCAUCCGAAACUGCUUGUCUUGAGUAAUGGAGAGGGUGGCGGAAUUCCCGGUGUAGAGGUGAAAUUCGUAGAUAUCGGGAGGAACAUCAGUGGCGAAGGCGGCCACCUGGACAUUUACUGACGCUGAGACGCGAAAGCGUGGGGAGCAAACAGGAUUAGAUACCCUGGUAGUCCACGCCGUAAACGAUGAGCAUUAGGUGCAGCGGAUAUUGACCUCUGCUGUGCCGUAGCUAACGCGUUAANUGCUCCGCCUGGGGAGUACGGCCG
rnacentral:rRNA from 1 species